GUAACAAGGUUUCCGUAGGUGAACCUGCGGAAGGAUCAUUACCGAGUGCGGGCCCUCUGGGUCCAACCUCCCAUCCGUGUCUAUCUGUACCCUGUUGCUUCGGCGUGGCCACGGCCCGCCGAAGACUAACAUUUGAACACUGUCUGAAGUUUGCAGUCUGAGUUUUUAGUUAAACAAUAAUUAAAACUUUCAACAACGGAUCUCUUGGUUCCGGCAUCGAUGAAGAACGCAGCGAAAUGCGAUAAUUAAUGUGAAUUGCAGAAUUCAGUGAAUCAUCGAGUCUUUGAACGCACAUUGCGCCCCCUGGUAUUCCGGGGGGCAUGCCUGUCCGAGCGUCAUUGCUGCCCUCAAGCACGGCUUGUGUGUUGGGCUUCCGUCCCUGGUAACGGGGACGGGCCCAAAAGGCAGUGGCGGCACCAUGUCUGGUCCUCGAGCGUAUGGGGCUUUGUCACCCGCUCCCGUAGGUCCAGCUGGCAGCUAGCCUCGCAACCAAUCUUUUUAACCAGGUUGACCUCGGAUCAGGUAGGGAUACCCGCUGAACCUAAGCAUAUC
rnacentral:misc_RNA from 1 species